rnacentral:rRNA from 1 species
UGGGAAUUUUGGACAAUGGGCGCAAGCCUGAUCCAGCCAUUCCGCGUGCAGGAUGAAGGCCCUCGGGUUGUAAACUGCUUUUGUACGGAACGAAACGGCGCUCUCUAAUACAGGGCGCUAAUGACGGUACCGUAAGAAUAAGUACCGGCUAACUACGUGCCAGCAGCCGCGGUAAUACGUAGGGUGCAAGCGUUAAUCGGAAUUACUGGGCGUAAAGCGUGCGCAGGCGGUCUUGUAAGACAGAUGUGAAAUCCCCGGGCUCAACCUGGGAACUGCAUUUGUGACUGCAAGGCUAGAGUACGGUAGAGGGGGAUGGAAUUCCGCGUGUAGCAGUGAAAUGCGUAGAUAUGCGGAGGAACACCGAUGGCGAAGGCAAUCCCCUGGACCUGUACUGACGCUCAUGCACGAAAGCGUGGAGAGCAAAC